UAAGGGUGAAAAGGUGAGGUAAGAGCUCACCGCUUUUUUGGUAACAAAAAAGGCAUGGCAAGCCCCACCAGGAGCAAGACCUAAUAGGGACUCGUGAGCUAGACUCGGUUAUUCCAGACAGAGUCCGGGUUGGUCGCUAGAACUUAUUGGUGACAGUAAGUCGAGAUGAAUGGUCACCAAACACAGAGUGUUUACAGGAUCCGGCUUAUAAACCAUCCGCGCAA
rnacentral:RNase_P_RNA from 1 species